CACCAACUAAGAACGGCCAUGCACCACCACCCACAGAAUCGAGAAAGAGCUAUCUAUCUGUCAAUCCUUUCCGUGUCCGGGCCGGGUGAGGAUUGACAGAUAGAUAGCUCUUUCUCGAUUCUGUGGGUGGUGGUGCAUGGCCGUUCUUAGUUGGUGGAGAGAUUUGUCUGGUUAAUUCCGAUAACGAACGAGAGUCUGGCAUACUAACUAGUUAUGCGACCCCCGAGCGAUCGGCGUCCAACAUCUUA